rnacentral:rRNA from 1 species
CUAAAGAUCUAGCUUAAUUUACACAACAUCCUAUUAACUUUAAACAAAAUAUUUUACCAUUUUAGUAAAGAAGAUUAAAAAAAUUUUAUAAGCUAUAAAUAUGUACCGCAAGGGAAAGAUGAAAUAAAAUGAAAUAAGUUUAAGCACAAAAAAAUAGAGACUCCCCCUCGUACCUUUUGCAUCAUGGUUUAGCUAGUCUAAUUAAGCAAAAAGACCUUUUAGUUUAACUCCCCGAAACUAAGUGAGCUAUUUUAAGGCCGCUUAAUGAGCUAACCCGUUUAUGUUGCAAAAUAAUGGGAAGACCUUAAAAUAGAGGUGAUAUAUUUAACGAACUUAGUUAUAGCUGGUUUCUCGAGAAAAGAAUUUUAGUUCCGCCUAAAGUAAUAUAAAUAUGAAUAAAUUAUCUUUACCCUUUAGAGUAAGUCAAAUAAGGUACAGCCUAUUUGACUCAGGAUACAGCCUUCACUUAUGGGUAUAUUAUUUUUGACCAAAAAGUGGGCCUAAUAGCAGCCACCUUAAAAAAGCGUCAAAGCUUAUUUAACAGUACAAAUUCACUUAAUUUAACUAACCCCUAUAACCCUAUUGAGAACUUCUAUAUUUUAUGGAAAUUAUUAUGCUAAAACUAGUAACAAGAGAUUGACCUCUCUUCAGUGCAAACAUAAGCCAAAAAGAACACCCAUUGGCAAUUAACAUAUUUAAAUAAAAGUAUAAACCACAUCCUAGAAAAUUUUACUUCCUUAAAUGUUAACCUAACACCAGAGCACUUCAAGAAAGAUUUAAAGAAAAAGAAGGAACUCGGCAAAUUUUAGUUUCGCCUGUUUACCAAAAACACCGCCUCUUGACUUUUCCCCCCAUAAGAGGUCCAGCCUGCCCAGUGAUUUUAUUCAACGGCCGCGGUAUUUCUAACCGUGCAAAGGUAGCGCAAUCACUUGUCCCCUAAAUAGAGACUAGUAUGAAAGGCAUCACGAAAACUAAACUGUCUCCUUUUUCUAAUCAGUGAAACUAUUCUCCCCGUGAAGAAGCGGGAAUAUACCUAUAAGACGAGAAGACCCUAUGGAGCUUUAAACAUUAUAACAAUGUCUAACUUUUUUAACCACACAGUGUUUACAUGUUUUUGGUUGGGGUGACCACGGAGUACAAUAAACCCUCCGCAAAAAUUCUUCAGUAAGUUACAACUUUAUGCAUCAUUUAAAUGACUUCAUUGACCCAAUAAUUGAUUAACGAACCAAGUUACCCUAGGGAUAACAGCGCAAUCCACUUCAAAAGUUCCUAUCGACAAGUGGGCUUACGACCUCGAUGUUGGAUCAGGGUAUCCCGGUGGUGUAGCCGCUACUAAAGGUUCGUUUGUCAACGAUGAA